AAGAAUUAGUUAAAAAAUAACUUUAAUAUGUCAAAUUAAUAUUAUCAACCCUUGAUAUUCUUUA
rnacentral:tRNA from 1 species